GUUUUUUUUUGGGGGGGUAUGUUUUAGGUUUUAUCAGGUGUAUCGUGCAAUGUGUAAUCACACACACACACACACACACACACACACACACACACACACACACACACACACACAAACAGUAUUUGUGUUUCUGUCUACGGUUCGUACCUUGUCUUACCAGCGGAGUAUUUCAGAAGCAAGCCUCCCCUUUUUUCCUCCUCUGGAGUUCUGGAUUGUACAUCAGCUUCGUCGUUUUAAUAAUUUUAGUUUUUUUUUCGUAUGUUGAUGUGUUUUCUUUGAAGGGCUUAUGCAUAUCUGACAACAACAAAAACUCUAGUCUAAUUUUAAGUUAAUCUUUUUUCUUUUUUUUUCUGGAACUUCCAGAGACAGGAGGGUUUUUAAUGUCCUCAGUGUCUCCCUGACGGUGGGAGAGACAAUGUUAAAGAUGUACAUUUGAAUGUUGGUAGGGGAGAUAAUGUAUCCUGUCUCACGCUGCCUUUUUUUUUAAUGUGUGAAGAAAAACUAAAACGUCUAAAGAAAAAAAAAAAGAGCUAGGAUAUCCUUGUGGUUUAUGAUGAGGAAAUGACUUUUACAUCAGUGCCAAAUCGCAUGAGGAUGAGCAUGAACAUGAACAUGAACAUGAACAUGAACAUGCACGCCCGUUAAUACACAGAUGCACUCUUCUACCCCACUGCCCCUCUCGACAUCAGACGGGGAGGCAGAUUAUUCUAGCGGUGUGUUACAAAGCGUAGCAAAGCGUAGCGUCGUGU